rnacentral:tRNA from 1 species
ACCGGUGUGGCGGAAUGGCAGACGCAGGAGACUUAAAAUCUCUCGCCUAAUGGCAUGUGGGUUCGAGUCCCACCACCGGUACCA